GAUGAACGCUGGCGGCGUGCCUAAUACAUGCAAGUCGAGCGAACAGACGAGGAGCUUGCUCCUCUGACGUUAGCGGCGGACGGGUGAGUAACACGUGGAUAACCUACCUAUAAGACUGGGAUAACUUCGGGAAACCGGAGCUAAUACCGGAUAAUAUAUUGAACCGCAUGGUUCAAUAGUGAAAGACGGUUUUGCUGUCACUUAUAGAUGGAUCCGCGCCGCAUUAGCUAGUUGGUAAGGUAACGGCUUACCAAGGCAACGAUGCGUAGCCGACCUGAGAGGGUGGUCGGCCACACUGGAACUGAGACACGGUCCAGACUCCUGCGGGAGGCAGCAGUAGGGAAUCUUCCGCAAUGGGCGAAAGCUUGACGGAGCAACGCCGCGUGAGUGAUGAAGGUCUUCGGAUCGUAAAACUCUGUUAUUAGGGAAGAACAAAUGUGUAAGUAACUAUGCACGUCUUGACGGUACCUAAUCAGAAAGCCACGGCUAACUACGUG
rnacentral:rRNA from 1 species